CAUUUAAGAGAUUUCCUGUAUGUUUCUGUGUUAUUAUGUUUGUUCAUGCAGCCUUUAUCCAAGGUAAGUUUUAUUUCUGUCUUCCUGAUCAGGGUCCACUGGGGUUACCAGGGCGACCAGGUGACCUAGGUGAGAAAGGAGAUGGUGGGAAACCUGGUCCGCCUGGACCUGAUGGAAAGAAAGGGGAAAAAGGAGAGGCAGGAAAACCUGGACCUCCGGGAGCACAAAUCAUUGCAGACAACAACAUAUUGACCAGGGUUAUCAAGGUAACCUUAAAAUAACAGCAUCUAUUUUAUUCAGUGUGUGUUAUGAGUGAAAUUUACAGAAAGAAUAUUUUCCCUCUGCUCUGCUCUAC
rnacentral:lncRNA from 1 species